GUGCCUAUGGUGUAGCGAUAACACACGAGUUUGUGGCACUCGCGUCGAGGGUUUAACUCCCUCUAGGCACCCCA
rnacentral:tRNA from 1 species